UUUUUAUCUCACGUCAUUCAUCCUUGUAAGCCUUGGAGAAGCUUUGUUUUUUCACACUUCUAAACCUGCAACAACUUGUUCAACAACAAUCAAUAAAUGGACAUUCAAGUGGAUGUCGACAACAUC